CCCUUUCCUAUAUUCAAUUUUGCAAUAACCACUUUGAUUUCAUCCAUUUCUUCAACAGAUAAUGUUUCUUUGAAAUCAUUGGAAUGUUUGCCAAUUGAAUCACCUAUUUAAAAAAAAAAAAUUAAUUAAAACAAAAAUCAUCUUACUAAGUUAUUAUUUUUAUGAUAAAAAAGUUACAGUAUAAAACUAGAUUCCAUUC
rnacentral:lncRNA from 1 species